CACGUAGGGUGCGAGCGUUGUCCGGAAUUAUUGGGCGUAAAGAGCUCGUAGGCGGUGUGUCACGUCGGCCGUGAAAACCUGCAGCUUAACUGUGGGCUUGCGGUCGAUACGGGCAUCACUGGAGUUCGGCAGGGGAGACUGGAAUUCCUGGUGUAGCGGUGAAAUGCGCAGAUAUCAGGAGGAACACCGAUGGCGAAGGCAGGUCUCUGGGCCACUACUGACGCUGAGAAGCGAAAGCAUGGGGAGCGAACAGG
rnacentral:rRNA from 1 species